UACGUAGGGGGCAAGCGUUGUCCGGAAUUAUUGGGCGUAAAGAGCGUGUAGGCGGCUUGGUAGGUCCGCUGUGAAAACUCGAGGCUCAACCUCGAGAUGUCGGCGGAAACCACUUGGCUAGAGUCCGGAAGAGGAGAGUGGAAUUCCUGGUGUAGCGGUGAAAUGCGCAGAUAUCAGGAAGAACACCUAUGGCGAAGGCAGCUCUCUGGGACGGUACUGACGCUGAGACGCGAAAGCGUGGGGAGCGAACAGG
rnacentral:rRNA from 1 species